CAAGUAGGCAAGGCAAUCGCUGAGCACAUAACUUAUUUAUGUGUUCGGAGGAAAGUCCGAACAGCUAAAAUAAAGUAGUGGGUAACUCCCACACGCAGUGAUGCGAGGGAUGCGAACAGAGACGUUCUGAACCGUAAGGUGAAGAACCUCCCAUUAUAAUGGGGGAGUCCUUAGAGAAAUCUAAGGGGUGAAACGGCUAAAUUUCCUACUCGGCUGCAAGAGCAAACCAAGGUAGCUCGCUUGAGCCUUAAGGUAACUUAAGGCCUAGACAAAUGAUUGCCAUUCUCUUUUGAGUCUCUGAAAUUGCGAAAUCAAUUUCGGAGGGGAGAAGACAGAAUUCGGCUUAUUGCCUGCUUGAGCU
rnacentral:RNase_P_RNA from 2 species